rnacentral:rRNA from 1 species
AUUGAACGCUGGCGGCAUGCCUUACACAUGCAAGUCGAACGGCAGCACGGGAGCAAUCCUGGUGGCGAGUGGCGAACGGGUGAGUAAUAUAUCGGAACGUGCCCAGUCGUGGGGGAUAACGCAGCGAAAGCUGUGCUAAUACCGCAUACGAUCUCUGGAUGAAAGCGGGGGACCUGUAAGGGCCUCGCGCGAUUGGAGCGGCCGAUAUCAGAUUAGCUAGUUGGUGGGGUAAAGGCCCACCAAGGCGACGAUCUGUAGCUGGUCUGAGAGGACGACCAGCCACACUGGAACUGAGACACGGUCCAGACUCCUACGGGAGGCAGCAGUGGGGAAUUUUGGACAAUGGGCGCAAGCCUGAUCCAGCAAUGCCGCGUGCAGGAUGAAGGCCUUCGGGUUGUAAACUGCUUUUGUACGGAACGAAAAGGUCUGCCUUAAUACGGUGGGCCCAUGACGGUACCGUAAGAAUAAGCACCGGCUAACUACGUGC